rnacentral:rRNA from 1 species
AACAAACGCUGGCGGCGUGCCUAACACAUGCAAGUCGUACGAGAAAGGGUCCUUCGGGGCCUGAGUAAAGUGGCGCACGGGUGAGUAACGCGUGGAUAAUCUGCCCUUCAGUUGGGAAUAACUCAUCGAAAGGUGGGCUAAUACCGAAUAAUGCUGUGAGACCUCGGUUGAUCAGCCAAAGAGAGCCUCUGCUUGCAAGCCCUCACUGAAGGAUGAGUCCGCGUACCAUUAGCUAGUUGGUAGGGUAAUGGCCUACCAAGGCGACGAUGGUUAGCUGGUCUGAGAGGAUGAUCAGCCACACUGGAACUGAGACACGGUCCAGACUCCUACGGGAGGCAGCAGUGAGGAAUCUUGCGCAAUGGGGGCAACCCUGACGCAGCAACGCCGCGUGAGUGAGGAAGGUCUUCGGAUCGUAAAGCUCUGUCGGAUGGAAAGAACCGCAUAGGGGUAAACAGCCCCUGUGUCUGACGGUACCAUCAAAGGAAGCACCGGCUAACUCCGUGCCAGCAGCCGCCGUAAAAC